CUGUGAGCUCGAUGAGUAGGGCGGGACACGUGGUAUCCUGUCUGAAUAUGGGGGGACCAUCCUCCAAGGCUAAAUACUCCUGACUGACCGAUAGUGAACCAGUACCGUGAGGGAAAGGCGAAAAGAACCCCGGCGAGGGGAGUGAAAAAGAACCUGAAACCGUGUACGUACAAGCAGUGGGAGCACGCUUAGGCGUGUGACUGCGUACCUUUUGUAUAAUGGGUCAGCGACUUAUAUUCUGUAGCAAGGUUAACCGAAUAGGGGAGCCGAAGGGAAACCGAGUCUUAACUGGGCGUUAAGUUGCAGGGUAUAGACCCGAAACCCGGUGAUCUAGCCAUGGGCAGGUUGAAGGUUGGGUAACACUAACUGGAGGACCGAACCGACUAAUGUUGAAAAAUUAGCGGAUGACUUGUGGCUGGGGGUGAAAGGCCAAUCAAACCGGGAGAUAGCUGGUUCUCCCCGAAAGCUAUUUAGGUAGCGCCUCGUGAAUUCAUCUCCGGGGGUAGAGCACUGUUUCGGCAAGGGGGUCAUCCCGACUUACCAACCCGAUGCAAACUGCGAAUACCGGAGAAUGUUAUCACGGGAGACACACGGCGGGUGCUAACGUCCGUCGUGAAGAGGGAAACAACCCAGACCGCCAGCUAAGGUCCCAAAGUCAUGGUUAAGUGGGAAACGAUGUGGGAAGGCCCAGACAGCCAGGAUGUUGGCUUAGAAGCAGCCAUCAUUUAAAGAAAGCGUAAUAGCUCACUGGUCGAGUCGGCCUGCGCGGAAGAUGUAACGGGGCUAAACCAUGCACCGAAGCUGCGGCAGCGACGCUUAUGCGUUGUUGGGUAGGGGAGCGUUCUGUAAGCCUGCGAAGGUGUGCUGUGAGGCAUGCUGGAGGUAUCAGAAGUGCGAAUGCUGACAUAAGUAACGAUAAAGCGGGUGAAAAGCCCGCUCGCCGGAAGACCAAGGGUUCCUGUCCAACGUUAAUCGGGGCAGGGUGAGUCGACUCCUAAGGCGAGGCCGAAAGGCGUAGUCGAUGGGAAACAGGUUAAUAUUCCUGUACUUGGUGUUACUGCGAAGGGGGGACGGAGAAGGCUAUGUUGGCCGGGCGACGGUUGUCCCGGUUUAAGCGUGUAGGCUGGUUUUCCAGGCAAAUCCGGAAAAUCAAGGCUGAGGCGUGAUGACGAGGCACUACGGUGCUGAAGCAACAAAUGCCCUGCUUCCAGGAAAAGCCUCUAAGCAUCAGGUAACAUCAAAUCGUACCCCAAACCGACACAGGUGGUCAGGUAGAGAAUACCAAGGCGCUUGAGAGAACUCGGGUGAAGGAACUAGGCAAAAUGGUGCCGUAACUUCGGGAGAAGGCACGCUGAUAUGUAGGUGAAGUCCCUCGCGGAUGGAGCUGAAAUCAGUCGAAGAUACCAGCUGGCUGCAACUGUUUAUUAAAAACACAGCACUGUGCAAACACGAAAGUGGACGUAUACGGUGUGACGCCUGCCCGGUGCCGGAAGGUUAAUUGAUGGGGUUAGCGCAAGCGAAGCUCUUGAUCGAAGCCCCGGUAAACGGCGGCCGUAACUAUAACGGUCCUAAGGUAGCGAAAUUCCUUGUCGGGUAAGUUCCGACCUGCACGAAUGGCGUAAUGAUGGCCAGGCUGUCUCCACCCGAGACUCAGUGAAAUUGAACUCGCUGUGAAGAUGCAGUGUACCCGCGGCAAGACGGAAAGACCCCGUGAACCUUUACUAUAGCUUGACACUGAACAUUGAGCCUUGAUGUGUAGGAUAGGUGGGAGGCUUAGAAGUGUGGACGCCAGUCUGCAUGGAGCCGACCUUGAAAUACCACCCUUUAAUGUUUGAUGUUCUAACGUUGACCCGUGAUCCGGGUUGCGGACAGUGUCUGGUGGGUAGUUUGACUGGGGCGGUCUCCUCCUAAAGAGUAACGGAGGAGCACGAAGGUUGGCUAAUCCUGGUCGGACAUCAGGAGGUUAGUGCAAUGGCAUAAGCCAGCUUGACUGCGAGCGUGACGGCGCGAGCAGGUGCGAAAGCAGGUCAUAGUGAUCCGGUGGUUCUGAAUGGAAGGGCCAUCGCUCAACGGAUAAAAGGUACUCCGGGGAUAACAGGCUGAUACCGCCCAAGAGUUCAUAUCGACGGCGGUGUUUGGCACCUCGAUGUCGGCUCAUCACAUCCUGGGGCUGAAGUAGGUCCCAAGGGUAUGGCUGUUCGCCAUUUAAAGUGGUACGCGAGCUGGGUUUAGAACGUCGUGAGACAGUUCGGUCCCUAUCUGCCGUGGGCGCUGGAGAAUUGAGGGGGGCUGCUCCUAGUACGAGAGGACCGGAGUGGACGCAUCACUGGUGUUCGGGUUGUCAUGCCAAUGGCACUGCCCGGUAGCUAAAUGCGGAAGAGAUAAGUGCUGAAAGCAUCUAAGCACGAAACUUGCCCCGAGAUGAGUUCUCCCUGACUCCUUGAGAGUCCUGAAGGAACGUUGAAGACGACGACGUUGAUAGGCCGGGUGUGUAAGCGCAGCGAUGCGUUGAGCUAACCGGUACUAAUGAACCGUGAGGCUUAACCUU
rnacentral:rRNA from 1 species